rnacentral:rRNA from 1 species
AGGACGAACGCUGGCGGCGUGCUUAACACAUGCAAGUCGAACGGAAAGGCCCUGCUUUUGUGGGGUGCUCGAGUGGCGAACGGGUGAGUAACACGUGAGUAACCUGCCCUUGACUUUGGGAUAACUUCAGGAAACUGGGGCUAAUACCGGAUAGGAGCUCCUGCUGCAGUGGGUGGGGGUUAGGAAAGGUUUCGGGCGGUUGGGGAUGGGACUCGCGGCUUAGUCAGCGUUGGUUGGGUGGGUAGUGGUCUACCAAGGCUUUGGACGGGUAGCCGGCCUGGAGAGGGUGACCGGCCACAUUGGGACUGAGAUACGGCCCAGACUACCGUACGGGAGGCGAGCGAGGUAGGGGAAUAGUUGAC